CUGCAUGCUGCCCUGCCAGAAAAUGCUAGAUCUAGUGGCCAAAAUCCUGACCUGAGUUGCCACAAUGGAGAGCGAAGGCCUCACACAGAGAUUCCAGACUUCAAGUCUAUCACAGACCUGGAGCCCCAUGAUUGAAGGGGAUGCCGAGUCCCUUUGAGGAAGAACCUUUCACCAUUACCACAGCUGAAAGCAAACUUCUUUACUGUGCACAGUACAGAAUAUAAUGCAGCUUGGCAGGAUGCAUAUGGUCCUGUGCAGGGGAAAGUAUUUCAAGUCAACUGGCAGGUUAAAGUCUUUCUGCAAUGAGGACUUUACACAUGCUGGAAAGGCAGCAAGAAAAGAAAAAAAAAAUAUCCAUCCAGAAGGUGCAUGAGUCUGAUGGGAAUGCAGUGAUGAUACAGCCAUCCUAUGUCCUUUGACAGCACAGGUCAUGGAGUUACAGCCACGGAGGGAUAGGUAGCUCAGGCUACAGAAGAUUAUUUUCAUACUUACUAAAAUAGCAUAAAUCCAUCCAGAAAAAAAAAUUCCAAACGAGGAUAAGUAAAGAAAGGGGGAAAAAAAUCCUGUACAGCAUUUACAACAACUAGCCAUAGCUUUUUGAGUCAGCAGUCUGAAAAGUAGACUAUGUGGAAAGAGCACUGAGCUUGAAGACAACAGACCACAGUCAUAGGUCCAGUUUUGCACCAACUUGCUGUGUAACUCUGAAAUUAUUGUUUCCCUUCUAUGAGUUUGUAAUUUUAAUUGAUAUUUAUGAAUCAAACAAAACAUUUGGCAAGGCACUGAGCAGGGAUCUAAACCCUCCUUGUGCUGGUUUGAAACUGUUAUGGACCACAAAAGAGCCAUGAUCUUUUAAUCUAAUCAUGUUGGGUAGAAA